CAGAGUGAGACUCCGUCUCCAAAAAAAAAAAUGACAUUUAAAAAAAAUGACAUUUCUUUUGAGCAGUGUUCCUUUGUAUUUUAAUAAUCCUGUAUUUAAUAUAGAUUAAGUAAAUAUUUAAGUUAUAAUGGAUGUCACAUAAAAUUUCCUUUAAAGAUCGGUAAGAAGAUAAAAUAGAUACUUAAAAGGAAAUAAGGGAGUCAAAAUAGUAGAAAAAAACUCAAACACAAAAGGCGGCAGUAAUGGAGAAAACAUAAGUGAAAGAUGCCGGACACAAAGGACCACAUGUUUAUGAUUCCACUUAUAGAAAAUAUCCAGAAUAGACAAAUCCAUAGAAAUAGGAUCCAGGGGAUGGGAGGAGGGAAUUAUUACUUAAUGGGGGCUUCCCUCUUUGGUGAUGAAAAAUGCUUUGGAACUGUAGUGGUAACAGUACCACAACACUGUAAAUGUACUAAAAGCUACGGAAUUGUAUACUUUAAAAUGGUGAAUUUUGGAACGGGGGGGCAGGAAAAUAAAAUGGUGCAUUUUAUGUUAUGUGAAUUUUACCACAAUAAAAAAUAAAAAGAGAAAAAGUUGCUUUACACAAAAGCAUGAAGUAAAAAUUACAUGUGGUAUGGUAAAAUAGCACAAAUCAUAAAAGCAAUCCAAGAAUGCCUAAAAUGUAAGGAAUAUUGCUUUAUCCAGAUUACCUGAGAAUGGCAGUCCUCAGGUGGAGAAAGGUGUAUCUGCCCUGCCCAACCAGCAGCAGGCAAGCAGGGGCCUCGCAGCCCAGUGCAGGCGCUGUUUAGAAAGGGGCAUCCACGUGGAUAAAAGGCCCAGAUUAAAUGGGGCAGGAUGAUAUUUUGAGAUAUCUGACUUUGUUCUUUCUGCUCUGGAAUUUCACUCCCUGGCCCUGCCCCUUGCCUGCGGCAGCCAAGUUCACUGCCAGGAGAGGGAAGUGACAGAGCAGAAAUCGGGAACAAAGGACUGUGGAAGAAAAAAAAAAAUUACAGGUGAAAGACUGGAAUGCAGGCAGAACUAGGAACAGGGACAAACAGACCUUAUCACUGCAAAGAGGCUACUACCUAGAAAGAAGUGUUCAAGCCCAAGUUUUUCAAGCAUAAUGUUAACUAACCAAGGGCAGAGAUAACCCAAAUGGAUCCAUCCCAUCUACAAUUAAACUAAGGACAGAAUCACUUGAGCUCCUUCCAAAGAAUGUUAAGUAAACAGAUUUUAUUCAAUCUUUCCUAGAGUUUAUAAUGAAUAUUUGUUAUUUAAUAUGGUAGUUACAUUACAGUUUUACCUUACGAGUGAUAGAACAUUUAGUGAAUAAGAUUAA